rnacentral:tRNA from 2 species
GCCGACGUGGUGGAAUUGGUAGACACGCUACUUUGAGGUGGUAGUGGGGCAACCCGUGACGGUUCGAGUCCGUCCGCCGGCACCA